rnacentral:lncRNA from 1 species
GAGAGGCCUCUGUUCACAUGGCAGCAUGUGUGAGCGGAUGCUCCCGGAGCAGGUGGAGUGGUGGCACUGGAUAGCGGUGUACACUUAAAGCGUUCUGGGAAUAUGAAUCCCUUCUGCACCCUGGAAUCACCAGUCCAGCCAUGCAUGGAGCUGGGGAAAGCAGGCCCUGAAUUGUCUAGAGAGACUUGGUGGAGGAGGCCACGGCCCGCCUUGUCCCUGCCGGGUCCCAGCCAGGUGAGACUGGGCAUGAUUCAGAAAAGUUGGAAGAUCUAGAGAGGGAUCUUGCAAUCUGAAGUUUCUUGUUUAGUCACUGGAGGAUCUGAACGUCUAUGACACUCUUUCGAGCUGACACAGUGAAGAACAUGGAAGGAGAACUCACCCAGUCUGCCAGGUUAGGAUGUGGUGGGGGCUGCUUGGGGGGGUGGCUCCAAUUUCACUUGACGGUGUCGAGCUUCUCUGGCUUUGAGGUAAGGCAGCUACAUGCAGGUGGUGCAAGAAAGGCAGAGAGCAGACAGGGAUCAGACACAGGUGAAGGAGCUUGCGACUUGUUGGCUGACACCAACCCAGUGGCCAGAGGUCACCAUUUCCAGGGAUGCUGGGAAGGACCCCAGAUCAGGGUCUCAGCAUCCCUAUGGCAUGGUCACGGUGGGCAACCAUCUCUACAUGCCCCCCAACCUCUGCAUCCCACCCAUUCCAUUUUCUACCCACUACCAUGCACCUUCAUUCUGAGUCAAGCUGACCUGGGAUCCUAGGUCCCCACUUUGCCACCAGGAAGUAGGCAUAGGGAUGGUGACGGUUUCUACAGCAGCAAAGAACCUGAUGUCCCCAUAGUCCUUUGAGUGAGACCUAAGCAGGGCUCAUACAGGGAGGGCAUAUUUCUCUGGCCCCAGGGCAUUUUCAGUGUGGCCCUGUCAUGAAAUUGUUUCUCCCCAUUGUGAAGAGAGGGCAUCCAGAAAGGUUCUCAGAGCCUGCUCUCUCUGCUGUUUCAGGCUUAUCAUUGCUACUGUAGGGCGCUUUGAAGGGAGCAGGGCUUUUAAUAGCUCAUCCAAACCUGACCACUAUGCAUUUACUGAUGUAGGCAGCAUGGAAGUCCAGUUGGAAAGAUUUAGUAGGAAGUCAGUCCUACGUAAAUGCAUCCUUUGCUUUUUUGGUAAAGGAAUCCUUUCAAUCAGUAAACCUCAGAUACAGCUUAACAAUUUUAGUCUAAAAUACGUUCCAAAAGAUCUACCUCAUCGCUUUACAUAAAGCAAAUCUACUAGACCAGUGCUGCAGUUUCGAUAGAACAUAAACCCUCCUGUUUGUUGGAGAUAUUUACAAAACGUUGGUUCUUUAUCUAAUAGGGUCACAGAUGAUCAUACUCAAGAUCUUCCUGGGGAGUCAAUGGCAAAUUUCACUGGGCUAUUUUACAGAUGAAGAAGGAACAUAAAGAAGGUUCUGGGACCCU